GCCGGAGUGGCGGAAUUGGUAGACGCCCAGGUUUUAGGUACCUGUGCCCGUAAGGGCGUGAGGGUUCGAGUCCCUUCUCCGGCA
rnacentral:tRNA from 1 species